rnacentral:rRNA from 1 species
CAACUUUCAGCAAUGGAUCUCUUGGCUCUCGCAUCGAUGAAGAACGCAGCAGGAAAAGCGAUAUGUAAUGUGAAUUGCAGAUCUACAGUGAAUCAUCGAAUCUUUGAACGCACCUUGCGCUCCUUGGUAUUCCGAGGAGCAUGCCUGUUUGAGUGUCAGUU